rnacentral:rRNA from 1 species
UUAGGUGGCAAGCGUUGUCCGGAAUUAUUGGGCGUAAAGCGCGCGCAGGCGGUUCUUUAAGUCUGAUGUGAAAGCCCACGGGCUCAACCGUGGAGGGUCAUUGGAAACUGGAGAACUUGAGUACAGAAGAGGAAAGCGGAAUUCCACGUGUAGCGGUGAAAUGCGUAGAGAUGUGGAGGAACACCAGUGCCGAAGGCGGCUUUCUGGUCUGUAACUGACGCUGAGGCGCGAAAGCGUGGGGAGCAAACAGGAUUAGAUACCCUGGUAGUCCACGCCGUAAACGAUGAGUGCUAAGUGUUAGGGGGUUUCCGCCCCUUAGUGCUGCAGCUAACGCAUUAAGCACUCCGCCUGGGGAGUACGGCCGCAAGGCUG